AAAAACAUUACAUGCAUGAAGAUAAGUGGAGAGCCAAAGACAAGACAUCUAUUAUAUCAUCUUAUUCAUUUAUUUUAGAUGGAGAAUAAUACAAUACUUAGCUUAAGCGAAUUAAAUUAACUUUAUGCAUAUAAAAAAUCACCUAUUUAUUUAUUAACUUUGAUAAUGGAUUGUGUUAACUCUAGUAAUUAAGUGGAUGACCCACUAACAUAAUAU
rnacentral:lncRNA from 1 species